rnacentral:tRNA from 1 species
GGCGACUUGUCCGAGUGGUUAGGUAAGAGUCUGCAAAACUCUCUACAGCGGUUCAAUUCCGCUAGUCGCCUCCG